rnacentral:pre_miRNA from 1 species
UACUUGAAUCUUCCCAUUGAUGUUUUUGGACUGAAAUUGAUCAGUCCAUUGAUUCAGUCCAAAAACAUCAAUGGGAAGAUUCAAGU